CAAGGAAUUUUCCCCAAUGGGCGCAAGCCUGAGGGAGCAACGCCGCGUGCAGGACGACGGCCUUCGGGUUGUAAACUGCUUUUGCGUGGGACGAUAACGGCGGUACCACGCGAAUCAGCCCCGGCUAACUCUGCGCCAGCAGCCGCGGUAAUACAGAGGGUGCAAACGUUGUUCGGAAUUACUGGGCGUAAAGCGCGUGUAGGCGGUUCGUUAAGUCGACUGUGAAAGCCCAUGGCUCAACCAUGGAAGUGCAGUCGAUACUGGCAGACUGGAGUCCCGGAGAGGGUGGUAGAAUUCCCAGUGUAGAGGUGAAAUUCGUAGAUAUUGGGAGGAAUACCGGUGGCGAAGGCGACCACCUGGACGGGUACUGACGCGGAGACGCGAAAGCGUGGGGAGCAAACAGGAUUAGAUACCCGCGUACC
rnacentral:rRNA from 1 species